rnacentral:rRNA from 1 species
AUCAGUGGCCAUAUCACCCUCACCACUGACCUACCCCCUGAAGCUCAGGAGUGUGAUCCUGGUCAGUACCUGGAUGGAAGACCUCCUGGGAAAAACCAAGGCUGCUGCUG